CCUACGGGAGGCAGCAGUGGGGAAUAUUGCACAAUGGGCGCAAGCCUGAUGCAGCCAUGCCGCGUGUGUGAAGAAGGCCUUCGGGUUGUAAAGCACUUUCAGCGGGGAGGAAGGCGGUGAGGUUAAUAACCUCAUCGAUUGACGUUACCCGCAGAAGAAGCACCGGCUAACUCCGUGCCAGCAGCCGCGGUAAUACGGAGGGUGCAAGCGUUAAUCGGAAUUACUGGGCGUAAAGCGCACGCAGGCGGUCUGUCAAGUCGGAUGUGAAAUCCCCGGGCUCAACCUGGGAACUGCAUUCGAAGCUGGCAGGCUAGAGGCUUGUAGAGGGGGGUAGAAUUCCAGGUGUAGCGGUGAAAUGCGGAGAGAUCUGGAGGAAUACCGGUGGCGAAGGCGGCCCCCUGGACAAAGACUGACGCUCAGGUGCGAAAGCGUGGGGAGCAAACAGGAUUAGAUACCCUAGUAGUC
rnacentral:rRNA from 1 species